rnacentral:rRNA from 1 species
CAACCACGCUGGCGGCGUGCCUAAUACUUGCAAGUCGAGCGGAUCUUCAUUAGCUUGCUUUGGAAGAUCAGCGGCGGACGGGUGAGUAACACGUGGGCAACCUGCCUGUAAGACUGGGAUAACUUCGGGAAACCGGAGCUAAUACCGGAUAAUCCUUUCCCUCACAUGAGGGAAAGCUGAAAGACGGUUUCGGCUGUCACUUACAGAUGGGCCCGCGGCGCAUUAGCUAGUUGGUGAGGUAACGGCUCACCAAGGCAACGAUGCGUAGCCGACCUGAGAGGGUGAUCGGCCACACUGGGACUGAGACACGGCCCAGACUCCUACGGGAGGCAGCAGUAGGGAAUCUUCCGCAAUGGACGAAAGUCUGACGGAGCAACGCCGCGUGAACGAUGAAGGCUUUCGGGUCGUAAAGUUCUGUUGUCAGGGAAGAACAAGUACCGGAGUAACUGCCGGUACCUUGACGGUACCUGACCAGAAAGCCACGGCUAACUACGUGCCAGCAGCCGCGGUAAUACGUAGGUGGCAAGCGUUGUCCGGAAUUAUUGGGCGUAAAGCGCGCGCAGGCGGUUCCUUAAUCUGAUGUGAAACCCCCGGCUCAACCGGGGAGGGGCAUUGGAAACUGGGGAACUUGGUGCAAAAAGGAGAGCGGCAUUCCCCUGUACGGGGAAAUGCGUAGGGAUGUGGGAGGACCGUUGGGAAGGGGGCUCCCGCUUUCCCCCGGGCG